rnacentral:rRNA from 1 species
UGCCCAGACUCCUACGGGAGGCAGCAGUGAGGAAUAUUGGUCAAUGGGCGCGAGCCUGAACCAGCCAAGUCGCGUGAGGGAUGACGGCCCUACGGGUUGUAAACCUCUUUUGUCGGGGAGCAAAUUCCGUUACGUGUAACGGAGUCGAGAGUACCCGAAGAAAAAGCAUCGGCUAACUCCGUUCCAGCAGCCGCGGUAAUACGGAGGAUGCGAGCGUUAUCCGGAUUUAUUGGGUUUAAAGGGUGCGUAGGCGGACUGUCAAGUCAGCGGUAAAAUACGGGGGCUCAACCUCCGCCCGCUGUUGAAACUGACGGUCUUGAGUGGGCGAGAAGUAUGCGGAAUGCGUGGUGUAGCGGUGAAAUGCAUAGAUAUCACGCAGAACUCCGAUUGCGAAGGCAGUAUACCGGCGCCCAACUGACGCUGAAGCACGAAAGCGUGGGUAUCGAACAGGAUUAGAUACCCUGGUA